rnacentral:snRNA from 1 species
GUGCUCACUUUGGCAGCACAUAUACUAAAAUUGGAACGAUACAGAGAAGAUUAACAUGGCCCCUGCGUGAGGAUGACACGCAGAAAAAAAAAGAUUAAAAAAAAAAA